rnacentral:pre_miRNA from 1 species
UGGACAGAUUAUUGUAUUCGACUGUAUUCACAGCGUGAAAUAGGGGAUUACACUAUUUUUAAAACGCAAAUGAAUCAAUUAACAUAAUAGACUCCU